rnacentral:rRNA from 1 species
UACGUAGGGUGCAAGCGUUAAUCGGAAUUACUGGGCGUAAAGCGUGCGCAGGCGGUUGUGCAAGACAGAUGUGAAAUCCCCGGGCUCAACCUGGGAACUGCAUUUGCGACUGCACGGCUGGAGUGCGGCAGAGGGGGAUGGAAUUCCGCGUGUAGCAGUGAAAUGCGUAGAUAUGCGGAGGAACACCGAUGGCGAAGGCAAUCCCCUGGGCCUGCACUGACGCUCAUGCAC